rnacentral:tRNA from 1 species
GCCGAGGUGGUGGAAUACGGUAGACACGCCAUCUUGAGGGGGUGGUGAGCGUAAGCUCGUGGGAGUUCAAAUCUCCCCCUCGGCACCA